rnacentral:lncRNA from 1 species
UUAAAAAUUGCCAUUCCCAGAGCAUGAAAAUCCUGUGUAUCCGUGUGGGCUUUGAGUGCAAAGCAGAGCAAGAAAUGGGGCAAGAAACGAAAUGACAGCAGGAGGGGAUGUAUCUUCCUCCACUGCAUUGGCGUGCUGCCAGUCUUUUGGAAGUGCAAUUAUAUUAAGCAUGCUGGGCUGGCCACUAAGAUGAGUAAAACAGCUUGGGAGAAGAAAAGCCAGUCACCUGCUGAACCCUGGGGACCACCACACACCCUUCAGGUACCAUCAGUUACAUCCCUUCUGGUGUGAUGCAGCACUGGCCCUCACACCAGGGAGCUGUGGCCAUGUGGAAGCCACGACUGCUCAGAUGAAGGCCUCUGAUAAUUAUCCACCCUCCCACUUCCCUGCUGCAUGGACCAGAUAGCUGCAAGCCAAGGCCAUUACUCAGCGUAUCAUCAGGUUUUCCCCUCUGAAAAACCCACCGAAGACCAAGAACCCCAGUUCACACAAUGCUUUUGGCAUCAGUGGACUCCUCCUUACCACACAUCGAGCAACUCUGCAGCAGCAUGGCAGCUCUGCAUCCUGGCACAAUCAAGUGUGAAGGUGUAGGGACAUCAAGAAAAGCAAGCUGCAUGUUCCUCCCCCUUGGCUCGCCUCUCCUAGCACUGCGAGACACAGAAGUUGAAAGUUAAGCUUUUGAGUUACCAGCAAUUUCCACUUUGGUGCAUUAUUGCCUUUGCUGCAGUGCUUUUAUAAGGCUGUUUAUAAGACAAUAGACAAUGGGAGAAGUUGCUGGGGUUCCCAGUAGACAUAUGUUGACAAUAAACCCCUGUAACAGAGGUCA